rnacentral:rRNA from 1 species
CUUGGUCAUUUAGAGGAAGUAAAAGUCGUAACAAGGUUUCCGUAGGUGAACCUGCGGAAGGAUCAUUAAAGAAUUUGCCCCGUCCUCUCGAGGAUGGGUCCUCUUCUAAACCGUGUAUACAUACCUUUGUUGCUUUGGCGGGCCGCCGUUUCGGCGUUGGCUUCGGCUGACUGUGCCCGCCAGAGGACCCCAACUCUUCUGUUUAGUAUUGUCUGAGUACUAUAUAAUAGUUAAAACUUUCAACAACGGAUCUCUUGGUUCUGGCAUCGAUGAAGAACGCAGCGAAAUGCGAUAAGUAAUGUGAAUUGCAGAAUUCAGUGAAUCAUCGAAUCUUUGAACGCACAUUGCGCCCCUUGGUAUUCCGAGGGGCAUGCCUGUUCGAGCGUCAUGAAACUCUCAACCCCCUUGUUUUGUAAUGAAGCAGGCGUGGGCUUGGAUUAUGGCUGUCUGCUGGACUCUUUAACUAGAGACCGGCUCAGCCGAAAUACACGAGUAACCCAGUUUGAAUAUUAACGGUUUGACUCGGCGUAAUAGCUUUAUUUCGCUGAGGACGUUUCAUAUCAAGAUAGUGGUGCUUCUAAUGCGUCGUAGCGUCAGCUGCACACCUUUAAGCUUUAGACCUCAAAUCAGUCAGGACUACCCGCUGAACUUAAGCAUAUCAAUAAGCGGAGGA